rnacentral:rRNA from 1 species
CCUACGGGAGGCAGCAGUGGGGAAUAUUGCACAAUGGGGGAAACCCUGAUGCAGCGACGCCGCGUGAGUGAAGAAGUAUCUCGGUACGUAAAGCUCUAUCAGCAGGGAAGAAAAUGACGGUACCUGACUAAGAAGCCCCGGCUAACUACGUGCCAGCAGCCGCGGUAAUACGUAGGGGGCAAGCGUUAUACGGAUUGACUGGGUGUAAAGGGAGCGUAGACGGGAGCACAAGUCUGGAGUGAAAUCCCGGGGCUUAACCCCGGAACGGCUUUGGAAACUGUGCGGCUGGAGUGCAGGAGGGGUAUGCGGAAUGCCUAGUGUAGCGGUGAAAUGCAUAGAUAUUAGGAGGAACACCGGUGGCGAAGGCGGCUUACUGGACUGUAACUGACGUUGAGGCUCGAAAGCGUGGGGAGCAAACAGGAUUAGAUACCCCUGUAGUC